rnacentral:tRNA from 1 species
GGGCUUGUAGCUCAGCUGGUUAGAGCGCACGCUUGAUAAGCGUGAGGUCGCAAGUUCAAGUCUUGCCAGGCCCACCA